rnacentral:rRNA from 1 species
AACCUGUCCUGUAAUCGAUAAUCCCCGUAAAUUUGACCYGGAUUUGUAUUGUCAGUUUGUAUAUCGCUGUCGUAAGAUUAUUUUAUAAGAAAUUUUUCGAUAAUAAUUUUUUAUUAAUGUCAAGUCAAGRUGCAGUUAAUGUCUAGGGUUGAGAUGGGUUMCAUUAUAAGAAUAUAUAUGGAUGUAAGUUUGUAAUGUUUAUUGAAGGUGGAUUUAAUUGUAAUAUG